AUACGGAGGGUGCAAGCGUUAAUCGGAAUUACUGGGCGUAAAGCGUACGUAGGCGGUUAGUUAAGUUAGAUGUGAAAGCCCCGGGCUUAACCUGGGAACUGCAUUUAAAACUGGCUAACUAGAGUUAAGUAGAGGGGAGUGGAAUUUCAGGUGUAGCGGUGAAAUGCGUAGAGAUCUGAAGGAACACCAGUGGCGAAGGCGACUCCCUGGACUAAAACUGACGCUGAGGUACGAAAGCGUGGGUAGCAAACAGGAUUAGAAACCCUAGUAGUCC
rnacentral:rRNA from 1 species